AGCCUUUUUCCAAAAUGGAUUAAAUUCAUUUUUUUCCUCAAACUUCUACUCACGACACCCCAUAAUGACAAGUUAUUAAAAAUAAAAAAACUAAAGAACUCAAGAUAGCCUCGCGGAUGGCUGCCUCGGUACUGCGUUCUCUCAUACGUUGUGCUUUUUGUGGUUUUUUGCACUCUGCUCUUAUUUGGUCUCUUACACCAGGGAAGAGCUCAUAAACAUUGGACUGUCAUGUGUUGGAACAUUUACACCUGUUUUCACUGAAGCAGGGAGUUUUACAGAUGUUUUGGUUGGAGGAGCAACAGCUCUGUAUGGAGUAUACAGAUCUGUAUGCUCAUCAUUCUGGGGGAUUUAACAGAGCAAAUCUCAGCCACAAACUCCAUAUAGACAGCACAUCAUGUGACCCACCAGGGAUGCGACCAUUCUUGACCACUGCUACACUAUAAUAAAGGACACCUAUCGCUCUGUCCCCCCUGCAGCACUGGGACUCUCUGAUCGCUGUCUGAUCUACCUCAUUGCUACCUACAGGCAGAAAUUAUAAUCUGCAAAGCCUGUAGUCAAGACGGUAAAGAAGUUGACGGAUGAGUCAUGGCAUGAGCUACAGUGCAGUCUGUUUUGACUUCACAGACUGCAGCAACUUUGAAGAGGAACAAAGAGGAGCUACUCUGAGAGGCUGAAAAACCAGUUCUGAGGCAAAGAUCCUGCGACAGUGUGGAGAGGUCUUCAGCAUGCCACCAACUACAGCAGACCAUCCCCAACCAUGUGGAGGACCCCUGACUGGCUGAGGAGCUGAACCUGUUUUACACCAGUCAAGGGUCACAGGGGGCUGGAGCCUAUCCCAGCAGUCAUGGGGCAAGAGUUCAUUCCCUGGAUACACAGAUUAUUAAUUAGGCAGAGAUCCCGAUCAUGACAGAGGAGACAGCACAGGGCCCCAGCACGCAGCUCACUCCCAGAGCCCAUUCUGCACCAUGUGGCUCACUUCAGGGAGGAAUGUUUUGAGGCCUGAUCCUGAAAAGAUCUUAAAUCACUGCUUGUCACAAACCAGGAAAGUUGCUGGAACGAUUGACUACCACAAGUUCAGAGUGAACCCUUUGAAUACAGAUGCACUUCAAAACUUCCAGUGAUGGAGCUGAACACUAAAACCUACAGUCCAGACAGAAAAAGGCAACAUCUCUGCUCUUCAACAUAUGAGGAAAGUGUCUCCAAAAACUCCACAAAGAGGCUGAAGCUGUAGAGGAGACCUUCAUGUGGUUAACUGUCCUGCCAGUCCAGCUCACCUGUCGUCUCUGCAAACUCACCUGCUGCUGCUCUUCAAAACAAAACGAAGGCUAUUUAAAGAGGAACUAUUUUACUCUUUCAAAAAGCCAUUUCCUUUUAGAUUUUGACAUAAAAUGAAUCAAACAUUAAACAUGAAGUCAAAGUUCAGUCAUUAAGACACUUGUGCUUGCACAGGUAGAAUUUGUGUAGAAUUUCAAAGCAUUCACAAUCACUAAAAUAGUGAAAUUCAUAUUUUUGUGUUGUACUCUAUAUUGAUUGCAACAUUAAAAACAAUGACAUAGUUAAUGAGGAUGGCAGUUAAAUUGUUGUGUGUUGGGGGGUUUGGCUGGACAUUUUGGUGUUGUUUUCUUUUCUUUG